GAUGAACGCUGGCGGCGUGCCUAAUACAUGCAAGUCGAGCGAACGGACGAGAAGCUUGCUCCUCUGAUGUUAGCGGCGGACGGGUGAGUAACACGUGGAUAACCUACCUAUAAGACUGGGAUAACUUCGGGAAACCGGAGCUAAUACCGGAUAAUAUUUUGAACCGCAUGGUUCAAAAGUGAAAGACGGUUUUGCUGUCACUUAUAGAUGGAUCCGCGCUGCAUUAGCUAGUUGGUAAGGUAACGGCUUACCAAGGCAACGAUGCAUAGCCGACCUGAGAGGGUGAUCGGCCACACUGGAACUGAGACACGGUCCAGACUCCUACGGGAGGCAGCAGUAGGGAAUCUUCCGCAAUGGGCGAAAGCCUGACGGAGCAACGCCGCGUGAGUGAUGAAGGUCUUCGGAUCGUAAAACUCUGUUAUUAGGGAAGAACAUAUGUGUAAGUAACUAUGCACAUCUUGACGGUACCUAAUCAGAAAGCCACGGCUAACUACGUG
rnacentral:rRNA from 1 species